rnacentral:rRNA from 1 species
GUGGGGAAUAUUGCACAAUGGGCGCAAGCCUGAUGCAGCGACGCCGCGUGCGGGAUGGAGGCCUUCGGGUUGUAAACCGCUUUUGUUCAUGAGCAAGCCCUUCGGGGUGAGUGUAGUGUUCGAAUAAGCACCGGCUAACUACGUGCCAGCAGCCGCGGUAAUACGUAGGGUGCAAGCGUUAUCCGGAAUUAUUGGGCGUAAAGGGCUCGUAGGCGGUUCGUCGCGUCCGGUGUGAAAGUCCAUCGCUUAACGGUGGAUCUGCGCCGGGUACGGGCGGGCUGGAGUGCGGCAGGGGAGACUGGAAUUCCCGGUGUAACGGUGGAAUGUGUAGAUAUCGGGAAGAACACCAAUGGCGAAGGCAGGUCUCUGGGCCGUCACUGACGCUGAGGAGCGAAAGCGUGGGGAGCGAACAGGA